rnacentral:rRNA from 1 species
UACGGAGGGUGCGAGCGUUGUCCGGAAUCACUGGGCGUAAAGGGCGCGUAGGCGGUGGCCUAAGCGUGCGGUGAAAGCCCGGGGCUCAACCCCGGGUCGGCCGUGCGAACUGGGCCACUCGAGCACUGUAGAGGCGGGUGGAAUUCCGGGUGUAGCGGUGGAAUGCGUAGAGAUCCGGAAGAACAACGGUGGCGAAGGCGGCCCGCUGGGCAGUGGCUGACGCUGAGGCGCGACAGCGUGGGGAGCAAACAGG